GCCGCGGUAAUUCCAGCUCCAAUAGCGUAUAUUAAAGUUGUUGUGGUUAAAAAGCUCGUAGUUGGAUCUCGGCGGACUGAGGGCGGUUUGCUUGCUAGUAUUACUGCCCUAUAGUCCGUAGUUUUGCCAGAGGUUUCGGGGUGCUCUUAAUCGAGUGUCCCGGGAUGCUGGCAGGUUUACUUUGAAAAAAUUAGAGUGCUCAAAGCAGGCUAUUACGCCUGAAUAUUCGUGCAUGGAAUAAUAGAAUAGGAAGUCGUUUCUAUUUUGUUGGUUUUCGGAAAUCGACUUAAUGAUUAAUAGGGACAGUCGGGGGCAUUUGUAUUCAAACGACAGAGGUGAAAUUCUCGGACCGUUUGAAGACAAACUACUGCGAAAGCAUUUGCCAAGAAUGUUUUCAUUAAUCAAGAACGAAAGUUAAAGGUUCGAAGGCGAUUAGAUACCGCCCUAGUUUUAACCAUAAACGAUGCCAGCUAGCGAUCUGCGGACGCUUUUUUUGUAGACUCCGCAGGAAGCUUCCGGGAAACCAAAGCAUUUGGGUUCCAGGGGAAGUAUGGUUGCAAAGCUGAAACUUAAAGGAAUUGACGGAAGGGCACCACCAGGAGUGGAGCCUGUGGCUUAAUUUGACUCAACACGGGAAAUCUCACCAGGCCCGGACACUGGAAGGAUUGACAGAUUGAUAGCUCUUUCUUGAUUCGGUGGGUGGUGGUGCAUGGCCGUUCUUAGUUGGUGGAGUGAUUUGUCUGGUUAAUUCCGAUAACGAACGAGACUCUGUCCUGCUAAAUAGUGUCUGCUUCUCUUUUGAGCAGACAAUUCUUCUUAGAGGGACUGGCGACUCUUAGUCGCACGAGAUUGAGCAAUAACAGGUCUG
rnacentral:rRNA from 1 species